rnacentral:piRNA from 1 species
UCUUGGCUUUAGGAAAAUGAUUUUCCC